rnacentral:rRNA from 1 species
UACGGGGGGGAGCAAGCGUUGUUCGGAUUUACUGGGCGUAAAGGGUGCGUAGGCGGCGCGGUAAGUCGGGUGUGAAAUCUCGGGGCUUAACUCCGAAACUGCAUUCGAUACUGCCGUGCUUGAGGACUGGAGAGGAGACUGGAAUUCCUGGUGUAGCGGUGAAAUGCGCAGAUAUCAGGAGGAACACCGGUGGCGAAGGCGGGUCUCUGGGCCGUAACUGACGCUGAGGAGCGAAAGCGUGGGGAGCGAACAGG